UUUGUUUUUCUCCCCCUCUUUUUUAAUGUAUUUUUAAAGUCUCUGUGACUUCAUGGCAGUUUUGAGGCAGGAAGCACAGGCACAUUGGCAGUCUUGUACCUCUGUGAACUGUUCCUGCAGGAAAACCACAUCCAAGCCUACUGCAGCAUGAGAGAAAAGGAACUGGGUUUGUGCUCUUUCUGAUACAGAAUUAACUAUACAGAAGGGUUGAAAAAUACUGGCAAUGAAUAUGUAUGUUUGUGUUAGUUUAUUGUCUUGUUUGGCUUUGUCUCUUUUCAAGGAAAGAGAAAGUUAGGAAGGAGUAUGGCACAAACAUCUCUAGCAUGGGAGCAAAUGGGCACAUAAUAAGCAGCUGAAAGAAAGAAAUGCUCCAGGACAUAAGUGGGCUGACUGAGAGGGAAAGAGCAAUGACAGCUGCAGUUCUGUCCCUGCUUAGGGCACCUACGCAGCUCUGACUCGCCCAGUGUGGAGGCUAUAGGGCAAACAGCCCAACCACAGUCACACAUACCUCUUGCAGCACUUUUAUGCAUGAUUAGAUAAUAACUAGAGCUGGACUCCAAGGAGUGUAAAGUAAAAGCGAGUUGUAGAUAUAAAAGGCAAUAAGCAUAAUUUCUUAUUUUUUUGUAUUUGCAUUCAAGAAAAGUAAAGCACUACACUAAUAAUUUGACAAUUACUAGAACAUUGUUCUGCAAAGAUUCUUUCUCCUCUAAGACUGUGUCAUAAGAAGCUGAUAUCCUCUAUUCCAAACUAACCAGCUGUUGGCAAGCGUGCCAAAAAACCAAACCAAAACCUGAGAUGGGUUUUGUUACCCCAACUUCAGUGUUCUACUGUGGCUCAGGAGUUACAGCAAUGAGUGACUCUGGCAAAUAUCCACUGCUGCUGGUGGGAUCCUAAUGAGGCUCCAGCAGGACCAUCAGUGUGCAAGCUCCAGCAGAAUCGACAAGGAAAAAAAACCCUGAGGAAACAAAUCCAAGGAAGCAGUAGAACAUGAAUACAAGAGCAGAAUGUGAUUGCACAGGGAGAUUCUACACUGAACUGAAACAUUCAUGUUUUGAUCAUUGAGAACAAAUGAAGUACAAUGCUGGUCUGUUUCCCUUCUCUUCUUAUGUCUCCAUUUUGUUUUACUUUGCUUAGCUUAGAAUUUUUUUCCUUUUUGGAGUCCUGCAGGGAGGAAAGAAGGAGCCUUUGUUUUAAAAAGUCUGAAACCAACAGUGGUCCAUUGAUCAUAAUUAAGUCUAAAAUAAUACGCUUUCGCUGACCUGUUUGUAUUGAAUCCAAAAAAUUGUAUGUUAUACCUACUGUAGUCUUGAUCUGCCCCCAGAUCCAGUUUCUUCUCAUUGAGCUUCUGGUUCUGGGGCAGUAAGCCCAAAUAAACUUCAGUGUUUUCAGGGCUGUA